rnacentral:rRNA from 1 species
UGCCCCAGUAACGGCGAGUGAAGCGGCAACAGCUCAAAUUUGAAAUCUGGCUCUCGGGCCCGAGUUGUAAUUUGUAGAGGAUGCUUUUGGUGAGGUGCCUUCCGAGUUCCCUGGAACGGGACGCCAUAGAGGGUGAGAGCCCCGUCUGGUUGGACACCGAUCCUCUGUAAAGCUCCUUCGACGAGUCGAGUAGUUUGGGAAUGCUGCUCUAAAUGGGAGGUAUAUGUCUUCUAAAGCUAAAUACCGGCCAGAGACCGAUAGCGCACAAGUAGAGUGAUCGAAAGAUGAAAAGAACUUUGAAAAGAGAGUUAAACAGUACGUGAAAUUGUUGAAAGGGAAGCGCUUGUGACCAGACUUGGGCUUGGUUGAUCAUCCGGGGUUCUCCCCGGUGCACUCUUCCGGCUCAGGCCAGCAUCAGUUCGCCCUGGGGGACAAAGGCUUCGGGAAUGUGGCUCUCUCCGGGGAGUGUUAUAGCCCGUUGCGUAAUACCCUGUGGCGGACUGAGGUUCGCGCAUUCGCAAGGAUGCUGGCGUAAUGGUCAUCAGUGACCCGUCUUGAAACACGGACCAAGGAGUCGUCUUCGUAUGCGAGUGUUCGGGUGUCAAACCCCUACGCGAAAUGAAAGUGAACGCAGGUGAGAGCUUCGGCGCAUCAUCGACCGAUCCUGAUGUUAUCGGAUGGAUUUGAGUAAGAGCAUACGGGGCCGGACCCGAAAGAAGGUGAACUAUGCCUGUGUAGGGUGAAGCCAGAGGAAACUCUGGUGGAGGCUCGCAGCGGUUCUGACGUGCAAAUCGAUCGUCAAACAUGGGCAUGGGGGCGAAAGACUAAUCGAACCUUCUAGUAGCUGGUUUCCGCCGAAGUUUCCCUCAGGAUAGCAGUGUUGAACUCAGUUUUAUGAGGUAAAGCGAAUGAUUAGGGACUCGGGGGCGCUAUUUAGCCUUCAUCCAUUCUCAAACUUUAAAUAUGUAAGAAGCCCUUGUUGCUUAAUUGAACG